GGUUCGGUAGCUCAGUUGGUAGAGCAAUGGACUGAAAAUCCAUGUGUCGGCGGUUCGAAACCGCCCCGAACCA
rnacentral:tRNA from 2 species